rnacentral:rRNA from 1 species
UUCCGGUUGAUCCUGCCGGACCCGACUGCUAUUUGGGUGAGGAUAAACCAUGCGAGUUGUAUGGGAUACCUAAAUUUCCCAUAGCAAACUGCUUAGUAACACAUGAUCAACUUGCCCUAUGGAGAAAUAUAACCUCGGGAAACUGAGGAUAAUGCUUCAUAGUUGAAUAGGCUUGGAAAAGUUUUUCAAUGAAAGGGAUAAGAUAAAUGGUUCUUAUCUGCCAUAGGAUAGGAUCGUGCUCGAUUAUGGUUGUUGGUGAGGUAACGGCUCACCAAGCCGAUAAUCGAUAGGGGCCGUGAGAGCGGGAGCCCCAAGAUGGGUACUGAGACAGCGACCCAGGCCUUACGAGGCGCAGCAGGUACGAAACCUCCGCAAUACACGAAAGUGUGACGGGGUUACCCAAAGUGUUCUUAUAGAACUGUGGCAGGUGAGUAAUGUCCCCUGCUAGAAAGGAGAGGGCAAGGCUGGUGCCAGCCGCCGCGGUAAAACCAGCUCUUCAAGUGGUCGGGAUAAUUAUUGGGCUUAAAGUGUCCGUAGCCGGUUUAGUAAGUUCCUGGUAAAAUCAGGUAGCUUAACUAUCUGUAUGCUAGGAAUACUACUAUACUAGAGGGCGGGAGAGGUCUGAGGUACUACAGGGGUAGGGGUGAAAUCUUAUAAUCCUUGUUGGACCACCAGUGGCGAAGGCGUCAGACUGGAACGCGCCUGACGGUGAGGGACGAAAGCCAGGGGAGCGAACCGGAUUAGAUACCCGGGUAGUCCUGGCCGUAAACGAUGCAUACUAGGUGAUGGCACGGCCAUGAGCCGUGUCAGUGCCGUAGGGAAACCGUUAAGUGUGCCGCCUGGGAAGUACGGUCGCAAGGCUAAAACUUAAAGGAAUUGGCGGGGGAGCACCACAAGGGGUGAAGCCUGCGGUUCAAUUGGACUCAACGCCGGA